rnacentral:misc_RNA from 1 species
GAUGAAGAACGUAGCGAAAUGCGAUAAGUAGUGUGAAUUGCAGAAUUCAGUGAAUCAUCGAAUCUUUGAACGCACAUUGCGCCCCUUGGUAUUCCAUGGGGCAUGCCUGUUCGAGCGUCAUUUGUACCUUCAAGCUCUGCUUGGUGUUGGGUGUUUGUCUCGCCUCUGCGUGUAGACUCGCCUCAAAACAAUUGGCAGCCGGCGUAUUGAUUUCGGAGCGCAGUACAUCUCGCGCUUUGCACUCAUAACGACAGCGUCCAAAAGUACAUUUUACACUCUUGACCUCGGAUCAGGUAGGGAUACCCGCUGAACUUAAGCAUAUCAGUAAGCGGAGGA